UCAGAUAUUAUGCCCAGGUCUAGAUUCUCAUCUCCACAUCUCGGCUUCUCCUCAAGAGGCAGCGACAUAUCCUUAUUUUCCCGGCCAAUAACCUACUUUGACUGGUGAUGUCGAUUUCUUGCUCAAGAACAUGGAAUAAGCAAGAGUAGAUGGAGCUCUCAUUGUGCAACCCAUCAAUCACAAGUUUGAUCAUUCGAGAGAGAAGGAACGGCCCACUGCUGCAGAUGUCUCUCUUCUCUCAUUGUCACUUUGUUAUUAGAUACUUGUUUAUUUCAAGAACAGUUUCGGACUAUCACUACUGAUUCCAAACAAAAGAGCCUGCAAAAAAAAAGAACGAC